UGAGAUGUGGAGGCUCAGUGUGGCCUGGUC
rnacentral:piRNA from 1 species